AUGGUGGUAGACAGAUCGCUGUGCGGAACCGGACCAUUGCUGACUUGACGUUAUCUGUGGCAGCUAUGUGAACUGCUUCUUUAAGAGGGAUUUUGCUCCAAACCUUUUGCGCAAAAGGACACAUGAAGAAGGUUCUUUCCCAAGGACAAGGCAUCGUGAGCUAUCGACCAAAGGAACAUUCUUAUCUUGGGAGAGCAGGAGGUUGCCCAUACAUCCUUGAUCCAAUCGAAUUCGUCAGUUAGGUGGUUCGCAUUGCGAUUUUGAGUGGGGUUUACCAUAGCGUUGUACCCUGAUCAUGUAGUGUAAACCCCCGACAGGAGAGGUUGCCAAAUGAAGCUAUCCUCUGCCUCUUUUUGGCUGGGUUUGAUGCAUUGGAUACGCUCAACAAAUUCGGGUCCAAAAUGUUUGAUUUGCUCAUCAAGGGACAUCCAAGAGUCUUUCCACACCCUCGUUGAUAAACCGUUGCCUAUUGCCUUGCCUAGAUUUUCUCUGAGCAAGUUUAUGAUGUGUAGUAUUCCUCUCUAACCGUGUGAACAGACUGAAACUAACUCCACUUCUAGAAAGCUCUGAUUAUGACAAUAUUUUCCUUUUAGAAUCCUUGCUAGGAGGCAAUCUAGAACUGUUAAAAUUCUCCACGCGAUUUAGCUAGGAGAGCUUGAUAAAAUAGCUGAAUGUUCCUGAAUCUAUGUCCUCCCUCCCUCCGCUUUUGACAUAGUUAGCCUGUUCCACACUACCCAACUCAUCUUCCUCUUGUUGUCUGGUCCAUCCCACCAUAAACGAGUUAGAACCGAUUGUAUUCUUUUGCACAUACUAGCCGGUAACUCAAAACAUGACAUCGUGUAGGUAGGUACGGUACUGAGAACAGCCUUCAACAACGUUAACUUUCCCGCUUUGGAGAGACACCGUGUAGAACCAACUAACAGCUCUUUGGCGUAUUCUAUCAACAAUGGCUGUGAAUAGAUCUCGUUUCCUUCUCCCAAAGUGCUCUGGGACACCAAGGAUCUUCAAAAGGACAUGACAGGAGGUCGGAGUUGCAGCACUGAAGAACAUUGUGUCAUCCGCAAAUAACAGGCGAUUAACUCUAGGACAACCUCACGCAAUUUUAAUCCCCUGUAGAGUUUCAUCUUGUGUUGCAUUGUUACAUAAACCUGAUAUUCCCCACAUAGGAUGAAAAUGUAUGGGGACAAAGAGUCCCCUUGUCUGAUUCCUCUACUAGGUUUGACUAGACCAUAUACGUAUACGUGAUCGUUAAUCAAGUAUGAAUAGGAAACCGUAGUGAUACA